GCUAACGCACUAAGUAGACCGCCUGGGGAGUACGGCCGCAAGGUUAAAACUCAAAUGAAUUGACGGGGGCCCGCACAAGCGGUGGAGCAUGUGGUUUAAUUCGACGCAACGCGAAGAACCUUACCUGGCCUUGACAUGCAGAGAACUUUCCAGAGAUGGAUUGGUGCCUUCGGGAACUCUGACACAGGUGCUGCAUGGCCGUCGUCAGCUCGUGUCGUGAGAUGUUGGGUUAAGUCCCGUAACGAGCGCAACCCCUAUCCCUAGUUGCUAGCAGUUCGGCUGAGAACUCUAGGGAGACUGCCGGUGACAAACCGGAGGAAGGUGGGGAUGACGUCAGGUCAUCAUGGCCCUUACGGCCAGGGCUACACACGUGCUACAAUGGUGCGCACAGAGGGCUGCAAACCCGCGAGGGGGAGCCAAUCUCACAAAACGCAUCGUAGUCCGGAUCGCAGUCUGCAACUCGACUGCGUGAAGUCGGAAUCGCUAGUAAUCGUGAAUCAGAAUGUCACGGUGAAUACGUUCCCGGGCCUUGUACACACCGCCCGUCACACCAUGGGAGUGGAUUGCACCAGAAGUGGUUAGUCUAACCUUCAGGAGGA
rnacentral:rRNA from 1 species